UGUCUGGGAAACUGCCUGAUGGAGGGGGAUAACUACUGGAAACGGUAGCUAAUACCGCAUAACGUCUUCGGACCAAAGUGGGGGACCUUCGGGCCUCAUGCCAUCAGAUGUGCCCAGAUGGGAUUAGCUAGUAGGUGGGGUAAAGGCUCACCUAGGCGACGAUCCCUAGCUGGUCUGAGAGGAUGACCAGCCACACUGGAACUGAGACACGGUCCAGACUCCUACGGGAGGCAGCAGUGGGGAAUAUUGCACAAUGGGCGCAAGCCUGAUGCAGCCAUGCCGCGUGUAUGAAGAAGGCCUUCGGGUUGUAAAGUACUUUCAGCGAGGAGGAAGGGGUUAAGGUUAAUAACCUUAGCCAUUGACGUUACUCGCAGAAGAAGCACCGGCUAACUCCGUGCCAGCAGCCGCGGUAAUACGGAGGGUGCAAGCGUUAAUCGGAAUUACUGGGCGUAAAGCGCACGCAGGCGGUUUGUUAAGUCGGAUGUGAAAUCCCCGGGCUCAACCUGGGAACUGCAUUCGAAACUGGCAAGCUUGAGUCUCGUAGAGGGGGGUAGAAUUCCAGGUGUAGCGGUGAAAUGCGUAGAGAUCUGGAGGAAUACCGGUGGCGAAGGCGGCCCCCUGGACGAAGACUGACGCUCAGGUGCGAAAGCGUGGGGAGCAAACAGGAUUAGAUACCCUGGUAGUCCACGCCGUAAACGAUGUCGACUUGGAGGUUGUGCCCUUGAGGCGUGGCUUCCGGAGCUAACGCGUUAAGUCGACCGCCUGGGGAGUACGGCCGCAAGGUUAAAACUCAAAUGAAUUGACGGGGGCCCGCACAAGCGGUGGAGCAUGUGGUUUAAUUCGAUGCAACGCGAAGAACCUUACCUGGUCUUGACAUCCAGAGAAUCCUGCAGAGAUGCGGGAGUGCCUUCGGGAACUCUGAGACAGGUGCUGCAUGGCUGUCGUCAGCUCGUGUUGUGAAAUGUUGGGUUAAGUCCCG
rnacentral:rRNA from 1 species